GGUAUAGCGUUAAUAGAACAAAACUGCCAUCACAGUCGAGUCCUAGAACUGCGGUUUGGAUGUUCAUUUCAACCAUUGGAGCAGCUCUGUUCACCCAGAAGCGCUCAUCGGCACGAUGAGCCGAUGAGCAGAAGCGCUCAUUGGCACGAUGUGCACUUCUGGGUGAACCAAGCCUGGAUGAAGCCUUGGGUCAACCACGCCGGGGGAACAAGGACUGCAGUCCUUAACAGCAGCUUGCUCCAUUGUAGCAUUAGACAGUCUCGGUCACACUCACAGCUCACACUUGGCGUGUCAGCCCAGCACGGCGGGGAUUUGGAUGUCGCUUACAACCGUAGUACCCAAGAAUGGAUACGGAAGGCCACCAGAGCAGGCUUGGUCCACCCAGAAGCACUCAUGGACACAAUGAGGGCUCCUAGGCCAAACUGAACGUGUGUUUGGGAUGAUGACUCGUUGGCGGUCCAUUUUCGCGGAGUUCCCCUGAAGUGAGUCCAACAUAUGCUGCGGAGGUUGCUGCGUGUUGUGUCCAUUGACAAUGACAGUGGAGAAGCUGUGCUGAAAAAGCGUCAGCCGACACGUAAAUGGACACACUGUCAGGAGCUGUCUCAUGUCCAGAGGUUGCGCUACCUGUGGAGCACGAUUAUAUGUAAUUAUACAAGUGCCAUUGUAGUACAGCCUGCCCUUUAUUUGAGGGUCCUAUAUCCCGAUUAUUUUUCUUGUAAAUAGGCUGUGUGUAGUAAUAGUAAAGUAUGUUUUUGUGCAGUAUUCAAUCAAUACGUUUGAUGGUUAUAGUUCAUGAAUUAUUAGCCUAUAUAGGAAAGUUACCGAGAAAGUUAAAAAAAAAAAAAUCAAACGAGCAGCAGCCUGCUCUAUUGGAAUAUCAUACAGGUAGUCAAGCCU